rnacentral:tRNA from 1 species
GUGGCUGUAGCUCAGCGGAUAGAGCCCGAUCCUAACGACAUCGGUGGACGUAGGUUCGAAUCCUACCAGCCACC